rnacentral:lncRNA from 1 species
AUGGGGCAGAAAGAAGUUUCUGAACUUGUUGCUCCUGGGCACAAGGCCUUGGGGAUCCUGGAAAGCCCAGAAAGCAUUUGCUGCACGGAGGCUGGAGGUCACAGGAACUUCCUUAUCUUGGGAAGUCUUCAGAACAUCUUAUUACUAAAGUGCCAUGAUCUCUGUCACCAGAGUGUCUGGAAAAAAAGCAAGACCCAGACUCAGUGUCUUCCAAAAUUGGAGAGAAGUGGUUUUACAACCAGAAGACAUUCAGGACUCUGUGCUGAGAGCCAUUUGAUACAGGUGGGCAUUCUGGAAAGCCGUGGUUUUGCAGUAUUGGGGGAGUAUAUCUGUGUGCUGGGGGAGAGAGAGAGCACACCUGCUCACCCCACAUGGUCCGUGCCCUCUAGAAAACACCUUUAUAAAGCAAUCCAAUAACACUCAGACAGACAUGUUCUGAAUCAAACAUGCCAGAUGCACAUUACACUACUUGAAAUGUGUGCUUUAAUUUGGUUUCUUGACUCUCCUCCUUCCAUCUUUAAAAUAUUUCAAUAAAAGGAAGCUGCACAUCUUGAGUAAAUCA